rnacentral:lncRNA from 1 species
AGGGGGAAUCCAGUGGUAUUCAGUUAAAGGCUGCACUGAGGACAAAUCGGAGUGCUUUAAGAGGAUUAUAAGGAACUAUGAGAUCCGCUCUUCUCAUUGCUGCCACCGUCCCCUGUGCAACUUCUGAGGAAGUGGCUAUAUCCGUGUUAUUGACUAGUCAGUCAUUUCUGAAGCCUGGCCUAGUGUGAUGGCAGCUUCUGUCUCGGAGCCAUGGCCAGAAGUUGAGUUUAGCUUCUCUGUGUCCGUAUCCCGCCCCAGCAUCUCACAAGAACUCUGUAUUAGCUUCAUUUCUGUUGCCAUAAUAAAGUGUUCUGAUGAAGAGAA